AGGCAACGACGAGAACUCACCCUUGCCACCUGAGCUAACACCAUUUUUCGAUAGGUCUGUUAUCAAAGGUCCUGAUGGACUUGACAUGUUAUAUUUGAACCAGUGGCUAGCUACUAGCGGGUUAGAUUCAGAUACAAGUAAGAAAAGCCUGAAAAUCACAAGUGCAGGAGGAGGAGCAGCAUCAGAUCUAGUUCGAGCAACGUUUGAGAUUACUCGUGAAGAUUUCAAAAAGUUAAGGGAAAGGGUGUUACCUAAACUACCAGAUAGUGGGAAAGAAAUGCAUCUAUCAACUUUUGUGCUUUCGUUUGCUUAUGUAACAACUUGCAUGGUGAAAGCUAGAGGAGGAGAUGGAGAUAGAAAAGUUGCUUUCGCAUUCAUAGCUGAUUGCAGGCCACGAUUAAACCCUCCUGUCUCACAAAACUAUUUCGGAAACUGUAAUAGACCUAAAUUUGAAGUGGCGAAAGCAAGGGAUUUCCUUGAUGAAAACGGGUUUGUGUUUGCUGUUCAGAAAGCAAGUGGAAUGGUUAAAGAUUUAAUGGAGAGAUGGGUUCUUGAAGGAAUGGAAAGGAUUCUAUCAGAUAGUUUAGAUGUUCUUAAAGAAACAUCUGAGUCAAACCUUCAAAUUAUAACUGUUGCAGGAUCGCCUCGAUUUGGUGUUUAUGGAACAGAUUUUGGAUGGGGCAAACCCCAUAAGGUGGUAAUUGUUUCCAUUGAGAAGAAUGGAGCUAUUUCCAUGGCAGAAAGUAGAGAUGGGAGCGGGGGGGUUGAAAUUGGUUUGGCUUUGAAUAAGCACGAGAUGAACAAUAUUUCUUGGUUGUUUCCAAGAUACGUUUAACGGGAGGGUUUAUUUUAAUUUAUUUUGUUGUUUUGUAAUGAUAUUUUAUUAAUAUUAUAUGAAAAUCAUGCUUCAUAUUAUGCUAUUUUUCAUUUAAGCAGAGGUUGAUUGCUCCACUUUAUGCUAUUUAAGCAGAAAGAAAACAUGUGGAGGUGGGGUGUUCAAAAUUCGGGUAAAACUGAAAAAAUUUGGUUAAUUGAUCGAAUUCGGUUAAUCGAUCGGUUAACCGAAUUUUUUCGGUCGGGGUCAGUUAAUUAUUUUUUAAUUUUUCGAUUAACAGUUAAUUCGGUUCGAAAUCGGUCGGUUAACAGAAUUUUUUCAGUUUAAUCAAAAAAUUUAAUAAAUAAAAUUAUAAUAUAUAAGUAGGCUCACUAUUCACCUAAGCCCAAUCCAAACCCAAGUAUUCAACCCAACCCAAUUACCCAACCCAAUUAUAAAAAUUACAAAUAAUUUAAUAAAUAAAAAUAAAAUUCUAAAACUAAAACUAAAGUCUAAAAGUCUAAAAAUAAUUUAAUUAUGUAGUGAUUCAAUUCGGUUAAUUCGGUUAAUUCGGGUAAUCUAGUUAAUUCUGUUAAUUCGGGUAAUUCGGUUAAUUUUUAACCAAAAAUAAAAAAUACAUAAUUUUCGGUUAAUUCGGUUAACUGACCGAAUUAACCGAAAAAAUUUAGGUUCGGUUAACAGUUAAAAAUUUUGAAAGGUCGAUUAAUUCGGUUAAUGUUAUUUCGGGUCGGUUAACCGAAUGAACACCCCUAUGUGGAGGUGGUUGAUUGCUUACCCCACUUUUAUCUAUUUGUCCAAAUAAUGCUUUAUUUGAUAUAUAUGUUAAGGAAAUUUCGAAAAACACUAAUGACUGAGAAGGGCCUUUAUUGGUUUCCACAAAAGCAUCGUACAAGCAUUAGUUAAGUGAUGGAGCCAUGUUAGUUGCAGGGGUGAAUUACCCAUAAAUGCCGGUAUGUUUGGAAAAUUACCUAAUUAGAUUAGUUUUUCUAAAAUUUAUCGGAUUAGGCCAAAUUUGGAGAGAGAGAACAAAAACGAGUGUUUUCCAUAAUGCCUACCCCGCACCCCAGCGGUCAAAUUAUAAUGGCUCCCCCCCCAACGACUAUUUCAACGAAAUUUUAACCCUCCGUCUUUAAUCGGACCAUACUUGAGAGAUGCGAGAUUUUUGCAUAUGGCCCCGUAUAGGUAGAUGGUGUAAAUUGGACCCCACACUUAUAAGCGCGUUGGUGAAAAGAUGGAGACCCGAGAUGCACACAUUCCAUCUUACUAUCACACUCGAGGAUGUGCAGUUACAGCUUGGGUUACAGGUGGAUGGCAGUUGUCGCAGCUAAUUAGAGAGAUGUCUGCGAGCAACUUUAUUGGUUUCCACAAAAGCAUCGUACAAGCAUUAAUUAAGUGAUGGAGCCAUGUUAGCUGCAGGGGUGAAUUACCCAUAAAUGCCGGUAUGUUUGGAAAAUUACCUAAUUAGAUUAGUUUUUCUAAAAUUUAUUGGAUUAGGCCAAAUUUGGAGAAAUAAAACAAAAACGAGUGUUUUCCAUAAUGCCUACCCCGCACCCCAGCGGUUAAAUUAUAAUGGCUCCCCCCAACGACUAUUUCAAUAAAAUUUUAACCCUCUGUCUUUAAUCGGACCAUACUUGAGAGAUGCGAGAUUUUUGCAUAUGGCCCGUUAGGUAGAGGGUGUAAAUUAGACCCCACACUUAUAAGCGCGUUGGUGAAAAGAUGGAGACCCGAGAUGCACACAUUCCAUCUUACUAUCACACUCGAGGAUGUGCAAUUACAGCUUGGGUUACAGGUGGAUGGAAGUUGUCGCAGCUAAUUAGAGAGAUGUCUGCGAGCAACUUUUGGAGAGGGUUUCGGACUUGAUUUAUGGAGCUUGGAUAGAUGUGAAUUGGAUGAAAAGAAAUUUUGUUGGGCUCAAUGCAAAGUUGAGUAAAGUUGAAAGAGUGUCAUAUUGAAGUUUGGUUUGGUAAAUUUUGACGUUUGGCUAGUUAAUUAAGGAAACAAGACUAAAUCGUAAAAGAUGUAAAACUUAAUCUCUAUUGAUUGCUAUUAGCUAAAUGCGUGUUUAAUGUUUGUUUAAGGAUCUAAAUGGUAAUUAUACCCUUUUUAAGGUUAUUGGACGGUUAGUGAAGGAAAUUGAAUUAAAUAUAUGUGUUUUAUAAUAUUAAUUUCUUUAGUUUGAAGCUUGAUGAUGAAAUAGGACUAUUUUGUAAAGUGAUUUUGGAUAGUUUUUAAGUUUAGGAGCUAAAACAAUAAAAUAUUAAAUUUAGCAUGAAAUUCUUGUAAACUUUCAUUAAUUAUAGGUUGUAAAAGAGUAAAGAUGAAUUAGGCCUAAGGGUUUUGGGCUUAAUUUUGAAAAAAAAAAUUAAGUUUCAAUUUAGGGACUAAAGUGAAUAAAAGGUAAAAGUUCAGGGAAAAUUGCUAAGUAGUCCUCGGUGUGGUGUUAUAAUGAUGGAGAUAGUAUGAGAAUUGAGUUAAGGCCCGUGUGAGCUUAGUGAAUGAUUAAGAUACAAAUGACAUGUCAUUAGGAUUUAUCAAGCACUAUGUGCCAGUGAUUAUAUUGAUCAGGUACUAUGUAUCAGUGACCAUAUUAUUAGGUAUUGUGUAACAGCCCGGUUUAGACCCUAGUCGGACAGUGAUUUCAGGACCACAAAUUCAAGUUAGAAAUAUAUUUUAAUAUUAUUUUUGGUGUCUACAGCAUGUUAAUUUAUAUGUGUGAAAAUUUUGUGUGAAAAUUUUAUCGUUUGUAUGCUCGAUUUUAUAAAAAAAAAACUUAAUCGCGUAAAUUGUAAAAGUGGCAUUCUAAUUGUUAAAGUGCUUAAUUGCUUUGAUUAAUUAAUUAUGGAGUCCUUAAAAUGAAAUUUAGCCAUUGAAUACAUGAAUGAACGGUAAUGGCAUGCAUUAUAUGAUUUUAUUAUUAAAUCAUUAAGGUUAUAUUGGUAAAUGGAUAAUAAAAUGUAAUUAAAAUAAAACAAAAUAGGAAAUGGCCAUGCAUGUUCAUCUUUUGGCCAAAUAUUGAAGAGAAAAAGAACCAUUUGAAAGCUUUAAAGAUUCGGCACUUUGAAGCUUAAAUUGAGGUAUGGAUUUUGUUUGGUUUUCGAUAAUUUUUACUUUUUUGAGAUCUUUGCUUUGUAUAUUACCUAGCCCAUGCUUUAAUUUUCAAAAUUGAUGAUGAAUUUGAGAUUUUCCAUUGUUGAUAAUGUGAUGAAUUUGUUGUUUGAUGAUAAAAAAUAAAUCUUUAAUGUUUGAUUAUCAUGUUUAAUUAAGUGAUUUUUUGAUAAAAAUCUAAAUUAGGGAUUUAUUUGUGAAAUUUGAAAUUUUAGGGGUUUAAAUAUGAAAUGAAUGAAAUAUAUGAGCUGAUAGGGACCAUAGGAAGAUUCGGCUAAGGCAUGGUUUUGAUGAAUUUUGUGUAUUUAGUGUAUUUUUGUAUUAAUGACUAAAAUGUUAAAAAUGUGAAAUUUGGGGGCUAAAGUGUAAAUGCCCUAAUUAGGUGUUUAUGGAUUGAAUUAAAUGAGAUGUGUUAUUAAAUAGCCAAAUUUGAAUUUAUUUAGAUCAAGAAAAGAGGAAGUCGGAUUUGGAUCGGAGAAAAUCGAAGGUUGUCGAAUAGUCGUUUCGAUCCGUUCCUGUCCGUACGAUGUAAGUUUGUAAGUAAAUAAAUGUAGUUAAAUUUGAAUGUAUAUGUGUUAUAAAUGCCGAAUUGAAUUUUAAUGAAUAUAUAUGUACAUGCCAAAUUAUUUUUAAGUAUGGGAGAAUUGUUUACGAGCUUAAUUCAAUUGAAUUACGGCAUCCGAAAGCCUGUACGAACCAUAGGAUUCCGAUAUGUGAUAUCGUGUAAGACCACGUCUGGGACGUUGACAUCGAUUUGAUAUUUACGUGUAAGACCAUGUCUAGGACAUUGGCAUCAUAUAUGAUUUCGUGUAAGACCCUGUCUGGGACAGUGGCAUCGUUAUUUGAUUACAUGUAAGACCACGUCUAGGACGUUGGCAUUGUACGAGCUUUUUGAGCUAUCCGAGUAUUCUUUUUUAUUUCGAAUGGUUUAACGGGAAAUGAUGCGACAAAAUUGAAUGUGAGUUUGAAUUAAACGAUUCAAAUAUGUUUGAGUUAUAUGAAGUGUGGAAGUAUAGGUAAGUAUUGUGGUAUAACAUGAAAAUGUGAGCUAAUUACUUAAAUAUGAUUAUAUAUAUGUGUGUUCAAGAUUGGGAGUAUUCAACCUACUUGUAUGAAUUAUAAAUGUUCUUUGGUAAACUAUUUGCUUAUGACUUACUAAGCUAUUUAAGCUUACUGUGUGAUUGCUCGUUCGUUGUUUUAUAGAUUUUGGAAGCUAGUUACGAGCUUGGGGAUAGUCAAAGAAAUCCCUCACACUAUCGAACGAUAUUUUUGUAUUUUUAAAACUUGAAUUAUGAACUUAUGGCAUGUAUAGGCUAGCAUUUGUUUUGAUUGGCCUUGAAUUUUGUAUAUGUGUUUGGCCAUGUGAAAAUGGCUUGAUUAUAAUAUUAUGGCUUGUGUGUAUGUGGUAUGACUUAUACUUAUUUUGGAGGUAUGUUUUAUGUUUUACAUGCUUGAAGGGUUUGGUUUUAUGAUUCGACAAUGAGUAAUAAAAAGUAUGAUGAACAAUCGACCAACAAAUUAGCUCAUAUGGAAAUGUGUUUUAUGGUAUAACUUGUGUAGUAGAUGGAUGUGUAUUUGAAUCGUGGUGCAUGUAUCUAUAAGCUAUGUGAUGACUUUGCUAUAAAACGAUAAAUUAGUAUUUGGUGUGGCUUAUUAUUGACUUAUUUUGGAUGUACAAUUUGUUUAAUGAAUUGGCUUGAAGGUGGUAAAUGAUGUGUAUGCAUUUUCGGUCUUAUAGGUAGCAUAUUUAAGAAGUAUGAUAUGUGGUUAUUUUGUGUGUUAUAUGAUGACAUGAUUCAAAAUGAAUAAAUAGGUAAGAAGACAGAAAGAUGAGUAUAUCAUUGAUGGUGUAAUGGUUAUUUGGCUGCAAUUUGAAAUGGUAAUUAACUACAUGUUUUAAAAUGGUUUGGCUUGAUCAUUUGAGGCUAAAUUUAAUGACCGAAUAUAGGGAUAAUUGAUUUGUUGUGUUUAUGUGUUGGGGCAUGAUAAUUAGCAUGCAAAUUGGUGUACUUAAAAUCGUUGCUUAUGUUCAAAAAUUGUUUAACGUGACUAUGGUAUAAUGCACAUAGGUUGGUAAUGUUUACAAAUGUAUUUGGCUGUAUAGUGAAGCUUGCCUAUGUUUUUUUAUUUUAUUUGUAUUGCUAAUAAGGUGUGUGAAAAGCUUAACCUAAGUAAAUGUGCGCAUAUGCAUAACAUACAAAUUGCUAUUUUUUUAUAAAUUAGUUAAUGAAUUGGGUUAGCCAUGAUUUGGUAUUUGAAUUUAGAAAUGGCUUCGUUUUAGAGUGUUAUGCGCAUGUAUAUAUGUCUUAUAAAAUGAUAUAUUUGAUGAUUAGUUAAAGAUAUGGAUUGUUAUGACUUAGUAUGCAUAUGUGCAUAGUUUAUAAAAUAGCAUGGCUAGAAGUUUGCUAAUGAAAUAAAUAUAUGCAACAGAUGAUUUGACAUAAGCUUAGUAAAUAUGAUGUAAUGAUAUAAGCUUGAAUAUAUUAUAAAUAUUUGAAUGGUAUGAAUAUGAUAGUAAAUAGGUUCGAAUAAUGGGUUUGUAAAGCAUGCAAUAUUUUAUUGAUGUAUGAUAGCUUGGUACAAAUUUUAAAAAGGUUAAGAGUAUUGAUUGAUUGAAUUUUAGAGUGCCAUGAUCUUGGGUCAUAAGGUUCGGCUAUUGGAGUUAUAUAGUAUAUGUAUUAUGAUAUGAUGUAUAUUAAUUGGGUCGAAUAGGUGAUUAAAUAAAUAAUAUUGAUAUGUUUAAAUUUUAAAGCAUAAAUUGCUUAUGUAUUAAAAGUAGUAAAGCAUAAUUGGUUUUUAGUUGGUUAAGUGAUCUAUAUGUGCGAAUGUGAAUUAUAUGAUUUAGCUGCUAGUUAUUAUUCGAGUUUAAAAAUUUUUGGAUUGAGUUAAUAUAAUUUGUGCAUAAGUUAAAAUGAAAGACUGUUCUGAGUUGUGUUUUGGUCGGUAAUGCCUCGGGACCCUAAUCCAGCAACGGAGACAGGCUAGGAGUGUUACACUUUGUAUCGGUGUUAUAUUUAUGGUUCAUGUGUAUACCAUGUUAAUAGAUAGUAUGGAAUGAUGUACUAACCUAUUUGGUUAUGUUGUGAAAGAUAUAAGGUGAUUAUGGAACAAUAAGUAUGUAUGUUAUUUGCAUUAAGUAAAUUAUGAAAUGUCAGGUACGUUGUGCUUAAAUUUUAUACGAACUUACUACGCUUUAAGUAAGCUUAACUUGUUUCAUUUUCUUCCUUGUAGAUUGUCGGAUUCGUGUUAUCAAUUGGAUCAUCUUUGGAGAAUCACACUAUCUGUCAACUCUUUUGGUAGAUUUUUAUCCAUUUUGGAAUAGGUUAUAAAUGGCAUGUAAAUAGGUGUUUUGGUUUCAAAUGUACAUAUAUGCAAGUUGUGGGUUGAAAUAGUACAUGAAUGUUAAACUGGAAUUUUGGCUAAGUUGGUAGCUUUAUGGAUAUGAAAGUCUAUUUAUAUGAAAUUCUUUGAUCUUGCUCCAUAGGUUAUAAGGUACUAUGGAAUGGAUAGGUAUGGCAUGUAAAUACAUUAGAUGUUAUAUGUUUGAGCUCUUAUGUAACACUUUAUGUGAAGUAGAUUUUAAAUUGGUUAAGUUAGGUUAUGUGGUCCAUAAGGUAAGGUUAAGGCAAGUAUUUAUAAAUGCUAUGUUUUGGUAUUUGAAAUGAUGAUUAUGUGAGAAUGUUUAGGUAUGUGAUUUUUGGUAUGAAUGAUGAUGAAUGUGUGAUUGUAAAUGGUUCAAUUGAGGUGCCAAGUGUGGCAUAUUGGUUAGGCAUUUAGGAUGGAUGUUUUAAGGUGUGGUUUUGGAAUAUAUUUUUAUGUUUUUGAUCAGGUUGAUUAAUGGUUAAAUGCUUACUUGUGGCUUAAGUGAACCUAGGAUGUUGUUGCUUGGUUUAGAAGGUAUUUUAGGUUCACACAGUCUAAUACACAGUCUGCCACAGGAUAGUGUGCCAUACAUGGGCAUAUGGCAUGGCUAUGUGGUCUAUUUAAUUUAGGUGCUAAUUGGUCCACACAGCUACAGUUUGUUACACGGCCUGGCAACACAGCCAUGUGACCCAGUCUUACAUGGCUUUAGUUUGUUUCACGGCUUAGACAUACAACCAUGUCUUCUAGCAUCAUAGGGCAUCAGCCUGUCACAUGGCCUGGCCACCCUACAGUGUGACCCAUGUUUUUACUUUUUACUUAUUAUUUCAUAAAAGUUUCAAAUUAGUCAUGAUUUGUUUUUGAGUUGGUUUAAAAGCUUCGUAAGCUCAAUUAAGGCUCGGUUUUGGUUGUAAAUCAUAUUACAAUGAUGCAGUUGAAUGCUUGAUGUUUUAAUUUGAUAUUUAAGUUGAAUUCUUGGAUGAUAGAUGUUGUUAACUGUUGUAACAUCUUGUAGCUCGGGUCCGAAAAUCGAACCAGGUUAGGUGUGUUACAUUACAAGUUUAUUAAAGUUCAAUGGUUAAUACUAUGUCGUGCUACUGGACGUGUCCGACAAUUUUCUAAACUUCACCAUAGACUUCAAUCGUCGUUCACGACCAUCGUUGCCCUUCCAAUUGAUUCCACUUCUUCUGGGAUCUCGCCAUUUAUCACAUUUCUUCGUAGUUUGGUUUCUUACACGAACACAACUGAAGAGAUAUCCUCGAUUGAGGCUGUUAUAGGUUAAAUUGAAUAAGGCAUAACAUUCCUCCCCUAUUGAUUCCUCAUUUUGCUCGAGAUCGAUAGUCGAUUUAAAAGUGGCAAAAAAUGGCCUACCCAAUAGAAUGUGGAUUUACUAAUUUUCCCUAAAGUUAAGGACUACAAAGUCUAAGUUCAUGUAAUAGCCCGAAUUUGGGCCUAGUCGAAACAGUGGUUUCGGGACCACAAAUGUAAUAUUUUGAAAAUUUCUACAGUAAGAUAUUAUCCUUGGUAUAGUAAAAUAAGGAAAUAAAGUAACAAAAAGGGAAAUUUUGAGUUAUGUCAACAUUGAGAAGUAUAUUAUGACAUAUUAAUGCAAUGAAGGAUUAAAUCGCAAAAGUGAGAAAAGUAUUGUUGCCUAAGAGUAAAUACUCAAAAUUUGAGGGGUUAAAGUGUAAAUAUGAAAAAGUUGAAGGACCAAAGGUGUAAAUAUUUUAAGAGUGGAAUGAUCUAGAAACUAAGGAAAAUGGAUGAAUUAGGACCAACUUGAAUAAGAUAAGAAUUAUGAGGGACUAAAUCAUAAUUUUACCAAAUUAAGUGUGACUCAAUGAUGGAAUUUUAAAAGAUUAUGAAGGGAAAAAUGGUCAAUUAGAAGAGAGAGAAAUCUAGAAGGCGAUGAUGAUGAUCUAGAAGGCGAUGAUGAUGUUGGUGAUAUUUUAGAUUAAUUAAUUAAAUAAAUAUUAGUUUAUUAAUAUUUUAAUAUGAUUUUUAAAUGAUAUUUUAUUAAUUUAUUAUUAUUCUAUUUAGUAUAUAUAUGAAAGGAAAGAUGAGGAAUUAUCAUCUUCUUCCCCAUGCAACCAACGUAUGAAGAGGAAAGAAAGAAAGAAACUUUCUUUUCUUUACAAUUUGGUCCUUUUAUAAAAAUUCACCAUUUUCACUUAGAAAUCAAAAGAAUUUCCAUAUCCAUCAAGAGAGAAAGAUAACAAGGAGACUAUGGGGAGUUAGAAUAUCAAGUUACAUUUAAGAAAUAGAAGCUGGAGGAGAGAGAAAAUCAAGUUAAAGAUUGAAAUCAAUUGAGCAAGGUAAGAACAUCAAGAUUUCAAUAUAUUUUUGAGUUUGAUAUUAUUGAAAAGGUAUGAAAUUGAUGUUAAUGUAGAGUUUUAUUAUAUAAGGUUUUAUGUUCUUGGUAUGUUAGUGAAGAGAAAAUAAGAGAAAGUGAUGAGAAAUAGUGUAGAGAAAGAAAAUAAGAGUGUUAUAAACUUAGUAAUCAAUAUUUUACACUAAAACAGUUUGGACAGCAGCAGUAGGUUAACUUUGAAAAAUCACCAAAAAAUGUGGGAAUUGAAUUAGAAGAUUAAUAAAAUAUGAAAUUAAAUCUUAUUGAGUCUAGUUUCUCAUACAAGAAACGGUGUAAGUAAUAGAAUUGUAAAUUAUGAGAUAUAAUAAAUUUUGUGAGACAAUGUCAGAAUGAUUUCGGGUUCCCCUGUUCUGACUUUGGAAAAUCAUCAAAAAUUGAAGAAAAAUAAUUAUGAGUUAUAAUUUAUAUGAUUAGAAUCCUUAAUGAAUCUAUUUUCAAAUUAUAUAAACGGAAACAUCAUCUAAAUUCUUUACAAUUAGAUAAUUCAUUUUUAGUGAAGAGUGGUCGGAACUGUCAGACAGCAAAAUAGGGGAAACUUUAAAAAAUAAAAUGUACUAUUUGGCUGAACCAAAAAUUCUAAAUAUUUUAUGGCAAGAAGGUAUGUAAGUCUAGUUUCAGGGAAAAUUAACGGAUCUUAAUUUGGAUUUCUGUAUCUCAAGAUAUAAAUGAUUUAGUGACUAUGACUCAAAUGGACAGCUUUGAAUAAAUUUACAAGAAAAUAGUGAAAUUAUAGAUAAUGUUACUUAUAAGCAUGUUAUGUAAAUCAAGGAUGUGGAAUGGAGAGGAGGAGGAGGAAAAUAAAUUUAUGAAUAUUAUGCUAGCAUGGAUUUGCAUUUCAAAUGGUUAAUUUGCAUGAUUUGGGCUCAAGGACUAAAUUGAAUAAAAGUAAAACUUUAGGGGCAAUUUUGGAAAAAUGUCAAAAAUGACCAAAUUGCAUGAAAUGAAUUGUUUUAUUAUUUAAAUUACUAAAUUGAAUGAAAUAUUAAUUUAGAUCAAUAUUGGGUGGAAAUUCGAGAAAAAUAGAAAAUUUUCAAAAUGUCCCCGAAUUUUGGUAUUUCUGCAAUUUAGCCUGGUAAGUUCGUAUGAACUAUAUUUUGUAUAAUUUUAAUUGAAUUGAAUGCUAUUUGGUAAUGAAUAUUAUAUAUGUGUGUGUUUGGAAUUGAAUUAUUAUUGGAUGUUUUGAAAUGAUUAUCGGAAGCUCAAUUGGGUUGGAGAUAUAUCACAUUAUCCAUUGGUUCUAUCGGAAAUUUUGGAUGAUUUGAUUCUGGUUAUUGUAUAAGUUAAAUUGGUUAAUGUUAGCUCAUAAAUGUUUUGAUUUUGAUUGGUUAUAAAUAUGAAUGCUUGAUGAAAUAAAAUGUCUGAAAAUUAAUUUGUAAACUCUGGUAAUGCUCUAUAACCCUAUUCUGGGGAAGGAUACGGGUUAGGAGUGUUACAGUUCAAAUACUUAAGGAACCGAAAGCUAAUGUGUUGGGUAUAUGACUUCUACAAUAUGUAGCAUAAUUUACAAUAGUAGAAUUCAUAGCCCAACUAAAUAGGUAAAUGAUAUCCUCUCACAGACAUGACAUGAUAGAUGAAAAGUAAAAGUUAUCACGGGUUGUUUAUCUUUGUGAUAAAGGACUUUAUUACUAUUUGAUAGUAAUUGACUUUUCAUGAAGGAAGAUGUAAUGGUUACAAUGAGAUAAAAUAAGAUCACAUUGGGAGAACAGAUUUAUCCCAAUGAGAUUAAGGAUAUCCUAUGAGCGUAACACACUUAUGACAAGGUCAUUGAACGAACACUGGUUAAGUAGCUUUCGUAAUGGUAAGUAAUUAGGGCUAGCCCAGUCACGAUACUAUAGUGGAACGACUUCGUGAUUAAAUGAGUUUAUAAUUAAUAGGCGAAAAGCUGAAAUUUAAUUAUAAAUCAUUUGAGCAUUAAUUCAUAUGUCCAAUCGGUCCAUUUGCUAGCUUGUUGAAACUGGAAAUGAAUUGUAUGUAGAAUCAAAUAAAUAGAAAUGGAUGAAAAUGAUAAAGAUAACGAAAUGAGUUAUAUUUGCAAAUGAUAAAUUUUCCCCUCAUGUUAUUAUACUAGUAACCAAGUGAGGCAUAAAUGUUAUAUUGAUCAGUUCAAAAGUUUUCCAAACUCGUACUUUUGUAUAGACUAAAUUUCUUUCUCACCUAUGUGAAUAAACACAUUUAUUUUGUUUAUAAUAAUAAUUCAUAAUAAGUACAAAAUAUAUUUAGAUUAAAUAUGAAAAUUAUUUAUAUUAAAUUAAUAAACAGAUUUAAUAAUAGUUAAAAAUAGGCUUUUUUUACAAAAAAAAUUAAUUAAAAAAAUAAAUUGAAGGAAAAACUAUUUAUGAAAUUGAGAUUUUAUUUUUAUCAACUUUUUGUUUUGGUAACAUUUUUUUUUUUCAAAAGGGUUCUACCUGAUACAUUAAUGGCACUCAUUUAAAUUUUUUUCAUUUUUUUCUCCCAUCAUAUAUACACGUGAAAAUAUAAGUAUUUUAAAAAGUAGACAUUGAUGUUAGGUGACGCAAUGGUAAGAUCACUAAAAAUUUCAUCUUUUGGUAGAAAAGUUGGAUGGUGCCUUUGUUUAUAUUGAAUAAAACGUGUUAUAUAGUGUGUGAAGCCCGUAGCCUUCACGGUUUGGAAAAAACGGAGAAAGUUUCGUGCUGGAUUCAUCCCCCUGAAACAAUAAGCGUCAUUCAUUCAUUCUUCCUUCCUUUUCAAAGUUCCCAUCUUAUCCGCCCAACUUUGAUCUUUUGUGUUGUGACACAAUGUUUUUUUUUUAAAUUUAUAUUAUUUUUCAAAUCACUUAAAAUAAUAAAAAAAUUAAUAGAUAACUUAUAUGUGAAUUAUAACGUUAAUAAUUAAUUAAUUUUUUAAAAUUAUAAAAAAUAUUUUAAAAUUUUUUAUUUUUUAAAAAUUAAUAAAAAAUUAAUACAACAUAUACAUGUUGUAUUCCACAUCAUUGUAAUUAAUAAAUAUUAACCAACUAUUAAGCCAAAUUUUACAAAUUUUUUAUAAUUUUAUAAUAAUUUAUUAAUUAAAAUCGUAUUUAUAAUUGAAAUGAGGAACCAAAAUUCCACCACAAUACUUCUCUUGGCCCUAAACGAAUACUCGAACAAUUAUGAUAAAGGAUUACAACGAAACAGAAUGGAAAUUCUCGAGGUGACCCAAGUUGCCCCAAUCUCUAACUCACCAGAAUCAACGACUGAAUUCCGUCUUCCACUCACUUUCUCCGACAUAUUCUGGUUCAAGCUUCCUCCUGUUGAGCGCCUCUUCUUUUACCAACUCGACGAGUUAACCCCUGCCUGUUUCAACUCAGUUAUCCUCCCAAAACUCAAGCGCUCUCUUUCUCUCACACUCGUCCAUUACCUCCCCCUCGCUGGCAAUCUCAAGUGGCCACCAAACGAACCUAAACCCAUCAUUUUAUACACUCCAAACGAUGGAGUUUCCCUCACAGUUGCCCACUCCGAUGCCGACUUUAACAUCCUUUCCAGCGACGGGGUCUAUGAUGCUGCUGAGUUGCAUCCUCUCAAACCUGACCUCGUAACUUCAGAUGUUUCGGCAUCAGCUAUAGCUGUGCAAGUAACCCUGUUCCCAAAUAAGGGGUUCUGCAUAGGAAUCACAGCUCACCAUGCAGUUCUUGAUGGCCAAACCACAACCAUGUUCAUCAAAUCUUGGGCUCAUAUAUGCAAGCAAGGCAACGAAGAGAACUCACCCUUACCACCUGAGCUAACACCAUUUUUCGACAGGUCUGUUGUCAAAGGUCCUGAUGGACUUGACAUGUUAUAUUUGAACCAGUGGCUAGCUAGUAGCGGGUCAGAUUCAGAUACAAGUAAGAAAAGCCUGAAAAUCACGACAAGUGCAGGAGGAGGAGCAGCAUCAGAUCUAGUUCGAGCAACGUUUGAGAUUACUCGUGAAGAUUUGAAAAAGUUAAGAGAAAGGGUGUUACCUAAACUACCAGAGUGGGAAAGAAGUGCAUCUAUCAACUUUUGUGCUUUCGUUUGCUUAUGUAACAACUUGCAUGGUGAAAGCUAGAGGAGGAGAUGGAGACAGAAAAGUUGCUUUCGCAUUCACAGCUGAUUGCAGGCCACUAUUAAACCCUCCUGUCUCACAAAACUAUUUCGGAAACUGUAAUAGACCUAAAUUUGUAAUGGCGAAAGCAAGGGAUUUCCUUGAUGAAAACGGGUUUGUGUUUGCUGUUCAGAAAGCAAGUGGGAUGGUUAAAGAUUUAAUGGAGAGAUGGGUUCUUGAAGGAAUGGAAAAGAUUCUAUCAUAUAGUUUAGAUGUUCUUAAAGAAGCAUCUGAGUCAAACCUUCAAAUUAUAACUGUUGCAGGUUCGCCUCGAUUUGGUGUUUAUGGAACAGAUUUUGGAUGGGGCAAACCCCAUAAGGUGGUAAUUGUUUCCAUUGAGAAGAAUGGAGCUAUUUCCAUGGCAGAAAGUAGAGAUGGGAGCGGCGG
rnacentral:lncRNA from 1 species